GAUGAAGAACGCAGCGAAAUGCGAUAAUUAAUGUGAAUUGCAGAAUUCAGUGAAUCAUCGAGUCUUUGAACGCACAUUGCGCCUCAUGGUAUUCCGAGGGGCAUGCCUGUUCGAGCGUCAUUAUAACCCCUCAAGCUCAGCUUGGUGUUGGGGCCUGCUGCACUGGCAGCCCUUAAAAUCAGUGGCGGCGCCAUCUGGCUCUAAGCGUAGUAAUUCUUCUCGCUAUGGAGUCCUGGUGGAUGCUUGCCAUCAACCCCCAAUUUUUCUAUGGUUGACCUCGGAUCAGGUAGGGAUACCCGCUGAACUUAAGCAUAUCAAUAAGCGGAGGA
rnacentral:misc_RNA from 1 species